GCAAACGAGGGCAACCCUUAUUGCCAGUUGCCAUCGGGUUAUGCCGGGCACUCUGGCGAAACUGCCCCGGAUAACGGGGAGGAAGGUGGGGAUGACGUCAAGUCCUCAUGGCCUUUAUGUCCAGGGCUACACACGUGCUACAAUCGCCGGUACAAACCGUCGCAAACCCGCGAGGGGGAGCUAAUCGGAAAAAGCCGGCGUCAGUUCGGAUUGCAGUCUGCAACUCGACUGCAUGAAGCUGGAAUCGCUAGUAAUCGCGGAUCAGCACGCCGCGGUGAAUACGUUCCCGGGCCUUGUACACACCGCCCGUCACAUCACGAAAGUGGGUUGCACUAGAAGCCGGUGCGCCGACCCGCAAGGGGGGCAGCCGUCCAAGGUGUAAUUCAUGAUUGGGGUGAAGUCGUAACAAGGUAACC
rnacentral:rRNA from 1 species